CGGGAAAUAGUCUCUAAAGAAGGCAUAGGAGCUUUAUGGAAAGGAGUUGGUCCUGCCAUGGCCAGAGCUGCAGCACUAACUGCCUCACAACUUGCAACAUAUGAUGAAGCCAAACGGUUUAUUGUAAUUGCAGAUUCUGGUUAAACAAACUUCUUUAGAAGAAGGGUUUCAUCUUCAUUUGUGCACUUGAGGAAUGAAGCUCAAGUGUGGUUGCAGGUGUAGUAAGCACUCUGAUAACCGCGCCCAUGGACAUGAUUAAAACCCGCUUGAUGUUGCAGCAAGGUUCCGAAAGCACCAGAAUCUACAGAAACGGGUUUCACUGCGGUUACAAGGUCGUUCGGAAAGAAGGACCUCUAGCACUUUACAAAGGAGGCUUUGCCAUAUUCGCACGACUCGGGCCACAAACAAUGAUCACGUUCAUACUAUGCGAGAAGCUAAGAUCACUCGCUGGACUUCACACAAUGUAGUCACUAACCGGUUCGUUCCAAGCUAGCCCGGUUCCAGAUAAGUUCUUGUCCAUUCUUUUGUUUUUUUUGAAAAUAAUUCACACUAGAUGAGAUUUUUCUAAUAAAAUGUUUAUUCAUUAUUGAUUUGGUAGUGUUAGAAUUUCUAUCUGCUGUACAAUUUUUCCCAAUUUAUUCUCUAUGAUUUCAUCAUUCUCUCAUUUUAUGACAAGGAAUAGAAAAACCAUAUGAUGUAAUUCAACAUUUUUUCAAUUGAAUUAAGUUUUUGGUA